AUUGAACGCUGGCGGCAGGCCUAACACAUGCAAGUCGAGCGGAGCGGCGGACGGGUGAGUAAUGUCUGGGAAACUGCCUGAUGGAGGGGGAUAACUACUGGAAACGGUAGCUAAUACCGCAUACUAUUGGAGCGGCCGAUAUCGGAUUAGCUAGUUGGUGGGGUAACGGCUCACCAAGGCGACGAUCCGUAGCUGGUUUGAGAGGACGACCAGCCACACUGGGACUGAGACACGGCCCAGACUCCUACGGGAGGCAGCAGUGGGGAAUUGUGGACAAUGGGGGAAACCCUGAUCCAGCCAUCCCGCGUGUGCGAUGAAGGCCUUCGGGUUGGAAAGCACUUUUGGCAGGAAAGCGGUACCUGCAGAAUAAGCACCGGCUAACUACGUGCCAGCAGCCGCGGUAAUUC
rnacentral:rRNA from 1 species